rnacentral:ncRNA from 1 species
GGGAGCCGUAUGAGCGGUAACGUUCACGUACGGUUCUGUGAGAAGGGUUGGGGACGGAAAUGGCCCCAUUCCCUUACUCUCGAU